rnacentral:rRNA from 1 species
GACGAACGCUGGCGGCGUGCCUAAUACAUGCAAGUUGAGCGAUGAAGAUUGGUGCUUGCCCCAAUUUGAAGAGCAGCGCACGGGUGAGUAACGCGUGGGGAAUCUGCCUUUGAGCGGGGGACAACAUUUGGAAACGAAUGCUAAUACCGCAUAACAACUUUAAACAUAAGUUUUAAGUUUGAAAGAUGCAAUUGCAUCACUCUAAGAUGAUCCCGCGUUGUAUUAGCUAGUUGGUGAGGUAAAGGCUCACCAAGGCGAUGAUACAUAGCCGACCUGAGAGGGUGAUCGGCCACAUUGGGACUGAGACACGGCCCAAACUCCUUCGGGAGGCAGCAGUAGGGAAUCGUCGGCAAGGGACGAAAGUCUGACCGAGAAACGCCGAGGGAGGGAAGAAGGUUGUCGGAUCGGAAAACUCUGUUGGUAGAGAAGAACGUUGGUGAGAGUGGAAAGCUCAUCAAGUGACGGUAACUACUCAGAAAGGGACGGCUAACUACGUG